rnacentral:rRNA from 2 species
AAGCCGGGGGCCCGCACAAGCGGCGGAGCAUGUGGAUUAAUUCGAUGCAACGCGAAGAACCUUACCUGGGUUUGACAUGCACAGGACGCUGGUAGAGAUAUCAGUUCCCUUGUGGCCUGUGUGCAGGUGGUGCAUGGCUGUCGUCAGCUCGUGUCCGGAGAUGUUGGGUUAAGUCCCGCAACGAGCGCAACCCCUAUCUUAUGUUGCCAGCGCGUCAUGGCGGGGACUCGUAAGAGACUGCCGGGGUCAACUCGGAGGAAGGUGGGGAUGACGUCAAGUCAUCAUGCCCCUUAUGUCCAGGGCUUCACACAUGCUACAAUGGCCGGUACAAAGGGCUGCGAUGCCGUGAGGUGGAGCGAAUCCUUUAAAGCCGGUCUCAGUUCGGAUCGGGGUCUGCAACUCGACCCCGUGAAGUCGGAGUCGCUAGUAAUCGCAGAUCAGCAACGCUGCGGUGAAUACGUUCCCGGGCCUUGUACACACCGCCCGUCACGUCAUGAAAGUCGGUAACACCCGAAGCCGGUGGCCUAACCC